rnacentral:rRNA from 1 species
GAUGAACGCUAGCUACAGGCUUAACACAUGCAAGUCGAGGGGCAGCAUGAACUUAGCUUGCUAAGUUUGAUGGCGACCGGCGCACGGGUGAGUAACGCGUAUCCAACCUUCCCUUUACCCGGGGAUAGCCUUUCGAAAGAAAGAUUAAUACCCGAUAGUUUCGGAAUUCCGCAUGAGACUCCGAAUAAAGAUUCAUCAGUAAAGGAUGGGGAUGCGUUCCAUUAGGUAGUAGGCGGGGUAGCGGCCCACCUAGCCGACGAUGGAUAGGGGUUCUGAGAGGAAAGUCCCCCACAUUGGAACUGAGACACGGUCCAAACUCCUACGGGAGGCAGCAGUGAGGAAUAUUGGUCAAUGGACGAGAGUCUGAACCAGCCAAGUAGCGUGAAGGAUGACUGCCCUAUGGGUUGUAAACUUCUUUUAUAAGGGAAUAAAGUGGUCCACGUGUGGAUUUUUGUAUGUACCUUAUGAAUAAGCAUCGGCUAAUUCCGUGCCAGCAGCCGCGGUAAUACGGAAGAUGCGAGCGUUAUCCGGAUUUAUUGGGUUUAAAGGGAGCGUAGGCCGGCGGUUAAGUCAGCGGUAAAAUUGAGUGGCUCAACCAUUCCCCGCCGUUGAUACUGGCCGCCUUGAGUGUAUUCAAGGCAGAUGGAAUUCGUGGUGUAGCGGUGAAAUGCUUAGAUAUCACGAAGAACUCCGAUUGCGAAGGCAGUCUGCUGGGUUACAACUGACGCUGAGGCUCGAAAGUGCGGGUAUCAAACAGGAUUAGAUACCCUGGUAGUCCGCACAGUAAACGAUGAAUGCUCGUCCUUGGCGAUAUACGGUCAGGGACU